GCGUGAAGUUGGCCCCCCGCGAUUUUCGCGAAUUCUCUUCGUCACUAGACUUUCUGAUCGUUAGUUACGGAACGUCGCGAGUAGAUAUAUAUUACUUUCACAGCUUCGUGAUAUUGGAUAUUUACCUCGCGGAGAUUCACGCGAUCAAAAUUCAUAGUUCGAUCUAAUCGAUAAAGUGACGAUCGUAUCGAAUAAUGCAAUUCGCGGGCGCUCGAUCGUCUUUACGUUGCGAUGCAAUCAUGAAAUGCAAAUGUACGACAUCAAUAGUACGGAAUAUCAGUAGUACGGAAAGUGCACGCAUUAGUGUCGCUUAUUGGCGCAACAGGCGCAGCGUCGCGUCGCGACGAUAAUCACUUUUGGUGCGUAAAGUUGGCCCCCCGCGAUUUCCACGAAGUCCUUCCGCCAUGUUUAUAGUUUCUCGAAACGGAGCGUCGCGCGUCGCGAGUGGAUAUUAAUUACUUUCGCACCUUCGCAUCUGACAUUACUUUCUUCAUCUUAUUCUUUCGUUGAAUGCUGUGCAAGAUGUCGCAAAGACAUAUUUCUCGCAUCGUCAUAUUCGAAUGAUUAGUAUUUAGUACGGGCGCGCUCUCGUAACCAAUCGAGCGCUUUCGCGUUGUAUUGUGUUGUGUGUGCAUCUGAGAGGAGGCAAACUGAAGGAACCUGGAGGAAUCUGAGAUGGGGAGGAGACCUGGAAAGCAUCAGGAACAACCUAAGAUUAUAUUACAACACCGCUGUUGCGCAUCAUAACGGGCAACGAUGUGCAUCCCCCACCCAUUUGACGGAAUUUCUGAAGAAAUACGUUCUGAGAGCAGAUGUCCGUAAGUAGAAACUUAUUGCGUUUAGGAUUAAGUUAACUCGUUUGACUUUGUCGCUGCUAGAUUGCGCUCUGACAGGCAUGUAAUUAGUGAGCCUUAAUUUCUUGAUCAAAUCGAGCUCCGCUGGUAUCUCGCGCGCGUCUCCCGCGGUAUUGACGAUGCCAGCUGCGAUUAGGCGUAUUCGGUAUGCCUCCUGUGUGUACGUCGGGUCCUCCUGUCAGAUAGACUAAUCUACGGUCAACCAACUCCCAGGCUCACGCGCUCCUCCUACUACCUGCUCGAUUAACGAUCGCCCGGCUCACCUGACUCGCCGGUAAUUCAAAUUCGAAGGAGGCCGAGAGAGUGCAUAUAUAAAUACGCGUUGUGCUGCAUUGCGUUGCGUGCCGGAGUUAUUCACAAACACGAAAGCAUAAAUUCGCCGUUCUUCAUUCCCUUCCUCGUCUCGCCGUUCGGGCGGGAUCAUACACGGGCAAGGCGGAAC